rnacentral:lncRNA from 1 species
UUCCGACAUGUUCGUCUUGGUUCGUACUCUCCCUAUAUAGGUACUCUACCUUCGAUUUCACUUGUUGAGCCGGUUCCCGCGCAAAUGAGAGGUGAACAAAGGGACUGGCGUGGUGCAUGAACCUGCAUGCGACUUCGUACCGGACAAGUGUAAAGUGAAAUUGCUUUGUUUUACAUAUGUGAGUUUUCAGUUGAGUGGUAUAAAGUUAAAUGUGUAUGUGCCUGAGUCCUGCGCUUAAACGGAAUUCUCUAAAUAUUGAUAAUGUACUCGGUUGUCAAGUUCGGAAACAAGGAGCUCUUGGAGGUGCCCUCCUCGUGGAUAGAGAGUGCUCCAUCGGGAAAAGGCUUUAAUUGUGUCUGGCCCCAAGACAGUAAAGCAAAAGACUAUAUUGCGAAGAGAAGAGAACCUGGGAAGAGAUGGAAGAGAUUGCCAGUAAAAGUUAUCAUCAAAGAAUGUGAGACACUGGAAGCUGCCAAGAAAAAAUGUGACCAAUUCCUUGAGGACUCCUCCUCUGCGACAGAGGGAGGCGAUACCUUGAACACUUUGAGAAGGAAAUCAUUUACUGUGGAGUCUGGUGAAGUUAAUAGCAGAGAUCGCAGCCGAUCGCCUCUUAAACAGGCCGAACCAGAAAGUCAAGCAAAAAGUAGCACUGAAAAUACGGAAAAUCCGCCAGAAAUUACCACACAAAAUUCAGGAAAUCCUCCAGAAAUUACCACACAAAAUUCAGGAAAUCCGCCAAAAAUUACCACUCAAAAUUCAGGAAAUCCGCCAGAAAUUACCACUCAAAAUUCUGGAACUUCCCCAGAAAUAAUCACAAAAAAUACAGAAACUCAGGACACAGGAAACGCAUCCUCUAAGGAUAAAAAUAAAACUGAAAAGUUUACGAAAGACAAGUCAGUCAACAGUCUGCAAGACAUUUAUGAUAUUGCCUAUGCGACGUACGAAGUAGUGAUCGGGAACCGUAGCAAAUUAAAAAGCAUUAUGAAACAAGGCACCGGAUUGGACAGCAAUAAACCACAAAAGGAGAACACCGGCCGAAAGUUAGUGCCAGCACCCUUAACUAAGAAAGAGGAUGUUGUCGAAUUGGAUGAGGAGAUAAAGAAAAAUGCCAAGUCCAGGGAAAUUUUGAAAUCUGAACUGAAAGUGUUAAGGAGCAAUGACCAAUCAGAUUACUACCGAAAAAUGCUUCACCACAUCUUCGCCUUCUCAGCAGCCGGGCACUUCACCUUUAAAGGGCAGAAGAGAACAAACUCUUCCAAAUUGGGUUUCCCGUCAUUGACUUGCUUGAAGGCAUUAAUGGAGGAACUUCUAAAUGAAGAGUUCGGUGAUCAAUUGGUCUUAAGUAAAAUUGAAAAAACCGGGGAUAAUUUCUUCAGGAAUUCUGGGACGAAGUGGAAAGAAUCUCUCGAGAAGCAAAAAACACCCGCAACCGGAACAAAUACAGGACAAGCAGGAGGAACAUCAUCAGCUGAUGAUGUUCCUCCAGGUGAAGGUUUCGCAUCAGAUGAAGAGAGUCACUCGACUACAGAUGAAGAAAUAAUGGACCAGUCGCCACCUACGUGACUUGCUUCGCCCCAGUGAAUUUCUUUUAUUUUUUAUUUUGUUAUUUUUUUAUUCUUUAUUUUGUUAUUUUUUGUUAAUUUUUAUUUUGUUAUUUUUUUAUUUUUUUUUAAUUUUUUUUUGCUAGUCUGAUCAGUAUACGCUCAUUAAUGUUUCAUAAGUGGAAGCACCGUCUAUUAAGAAAAAUUAUUUCAACUGGUGCACCCUCUAUUCAGAAAAAUUAUUUCAACUGGUAUAGAUGCAUUAUCUGUAUUUGUAGGAUUAAAUUUUCAUUCAUCAAGGAUCUCGUAGUUCUUUUGAUCAUAAAACUGUUUUGAUUCUCUCUAUAUACAUAUUAUUCCCAUGUUGAAAAUUUAUUCAUUAUCAGUUUUUUCAAUGUCAAAUUUCUGCUCUCAGCAGGGUAGCCAAUCGUGGUAAUAACAAUGAACAAUGAGUGUGUUCUUUAUCAUAAUUUUGUGUUCAGUUAUAAUUUAUAUUUUUUCCUGUUUAGUUCUAUUCCUGUGUAGUUCAUCAAGGAUCUGAUAGUUGUUGUAAUCAUGAAACUGCUCUAAUUAAGACGAGACAGAUUUUUGACCAGAUUUGCUGCUCAGAUUUUUGACUUAGUGCUCCUCUUUUGUGAUGCAUACAUUUUAAGAUUUAUUUCUUGUCUAAUUUCUGGUCUCUCAGGGUAACUAAUUAUCCUAAUAUAUUAUUCCUAUUCCUAUAUAUUUAUAUAUUAUUCCUUAUUUUUUUUUCCUGCUCAGAUUUUUGACUUAGUGCUCCCCUUUUGUGAUGCAUACAUUUUAAGAUUUAUUUCUUGACAAAUUUCUGGUCUCUCAGGGUAACUAAUUUUCCUAAUAUAUUAUUCCUAUUCCUAUAUAUUUAUAUAUUAUUCCUUAUUUUUCUUUCCUGCUCAGAUUUUUGACGUAGUGCUCCCCUUUUGUGAUGCAUACAAUUUAAGAUUUAUUUCUUGUCAAAUUUCUUGUCUCGCAGGGUAACUAAUUUUCCUAAUAUAUUAUUUUCUUGUGAUAAAUGUUUUCGUUUCUGAUAUAAAGUUUGUUUAUUAAUUUGAAACAUGUUCUUUUAAAUCUUUCACGUGAUUUGAAUACAUUAUACUAUUUCCAUAAGAAGACAAAUGUUUUAAACCAGCUUAAUCACAGGGAUUCAGUGACCUUAAUUUUUCAUUAAUUUUUAAUUUUUGCCAAGCAGAGAGUCGACUUAUAGUUCCACUUGCUACUUAGCAAAAAUGCCAGAAUUAAAAAUCGGUGAACAAGCUUAUUGUGCACCUUUCAUGUCUAAAAGCGUUUUUUAGAGGUUUGUGACACUCAUUUGCAGAAGUAAGUAUGAAGGCAUUUAUGCGGUUUUAACACAUUUUUAAGUCAUUUUUCAGACGUUAUUAAAAUUUUCAAAAGAGUUUCUAAUAAUCAUUUUUAAUAACGUCUGAAAAAUAUCUGAAAAAUAUUUUAAAACCGCAUCAAUGCCUUCUUACUUAUUCCUGCGUAUGAUUCUUAAAUAUCUUUAAAACAUUUUUUGUAUGCAACUGCGCCGUGCUUGUAGCUAAAUCAUUUUUAAAACAUCUUUAAAAUAUUUUCGGAAACAAGUAGGGGGGACACUUACGCGUUUAUAAAAUGUUUAUAAGUUGUUUUUUAGAGGUCGAUAAAGAUGAUUAUUGCAAACUCUUUUAAACAUUUUUUCGUAACAACUAUAGGAUGUUACUAAGAAAUAUUUAUUAGGAGUUUUCGCGAAUCAUCUUUAUCGACCUUUAAAAAACAACUUAUAAACAUUUUAUAAACGCGUAAAUGUCCCCCCUACUUGUUUCCGAAAAUAUUUUAAAGAUGUUUUAAAAAUGAUUUAGCUACAAGCACGGCGCAGUUGCACACAAAAAAUGUUUUAAAGAUAUUUAAGAAUCAUUCGCAGAAAUAAGUAAUAAGGCAUUAGUUAGGUUUUAAAACAUUUUUCAGACAUUUUUCAGACGUUAUGAAAAAUGAUUAUUAGAAACUCUUAAUAAAUAUUUCUUUGUUACAUCUAUUUGAUGUUACUAAGAAAUAUUUAUUAAGAGUUUCCCAGAAUCAUUUUUAUUGACCUCUAAAAAACAAGUUAUAAAUAUUUUAUAAACGCGUAAAUGUCCCCCUUACUUGUUUCCAAAAACAUUUUAAAGACGUUUUUAAAACGUUUCAAAUUUUUUUCUUAUUUCUGAAAAACAUCUUCGAAAUAUCUUGUUUGUUUUUAAAGAUAUUUUAAAAACAUUUUUUAAACAUCAAUGUGCUAUUAGGGUACAAACCUAAGGAGAUACUUCACACAUUGCGCAAUGCUUUAAUGUGACCAUCGUAAUUUUCGUGUCAUUUAACCUCUAAAAAGUCUAUUCGCACGGCUGUAUCUCUUGCAUGCAACAGGCCCAUUGCAGAUUUUCCUCUGGUCAUUUUGAACGGCACCUUUUGUGCGGACAGGGUCAUUGGCG